AGAGAUAGAGGUCGCGCGAAUCAAGAGUAUGUCGUUGGAUGUGUGCAGGCACAGGCGAAUGCGGCGGAAAGGGACGAGCGCCGAAAGGCCGGUAAGCCUGUAAAUCUGGUUCUUGGGCAUAGGGUAAAGAAUCCUAUGACUGUCAUCGUGCACAGAUGAAGCGCUAUCCG
rnacentral:ncRNA from 1 species